rnacentral:rRNA from 1 species
UUAAUCUGAUUCUUCGGAUGAAGGUUUUUGUGACUGAGUGGCGGACGAGUGAGUAACGCGUGGGUAACCUGCCUCAUACAGGGGGAUAACAGUUAGAAAUGACUGCUAAUACCGCAUAAGACCACGGAGCUGCACGGCUCAGUGGGAAAAACUCCGGUGGUAUGAGAUGGACCCGCGUCUGAUUAGGUAGUUGGUGGGGUAACGGCCUACCAAGCCAACGAUCAGUAGCCGACCUGAGAGGGUGACCGGCCACAUUGGGACUGAGACACGGCCCAAACUCCUACGGGAGGCAGCAGUGGGGAAUAUUGCACAAUGGGGGAAACCCUGAUGCAGCGACGCCGCGUGAGCGAAGAAGUAUUUCGGUAUGUAAAGCUCUAUCAGCAGGGAAGAAAAUGACGGUACCUGACUAAGAAGCACCGGCUAAAUACGUGCCAGCAGCCGCGGUAAUACGUAUGGUGCAAGCGUUAUCCGGAUUUACUGGGUGUAAAGGGAGCGUAGACGGCUGUGUAAGUCUGAAGUGAAAGCCCGGGGCUCAACCCCGGGACUGCUUUGGAAACUAUGCAGCU